rnacentral:rRNA from 1 species
UACAGAGGUCUCAAGCGUUGUUCGGAUUCAUUGGGCGUAAAGGGUGUGUAGGUGGCGCCGUAAGUCGGGUGUGAAAUUUCGGAGCUUAACUCCGAAACUGCAUUCGAUACUGCGGUGCUUGAGGACUGGAGAGGAGACUGGAAUUCAUGGUGUAGCAGUGAAAUGCGUAGAGAUCAUGAGGAAGACCAGUGGCGAAGGCGGGGUCUCUGGACAGUUCCUGACGCUGAGGCACGAAGGCCAGGGGGAGCAAACGGG